AGUGGGGAAUAUUGCACAAUGGGCGCAAGCCUGAUGCAGCCAUGCCGCGUGUAUGAAGAAGGGCCUUCGGGUUGUAAAGUACUUUCAGCAGUGAGGAAGGUGGAUAUGUUAAUAGCAUAUUCAUUUGACGUUAGCUGCAGAAGAAGCACCGGCUAAACUCCGUGCCAGCAGCCGCGGUAAUACGGAGGGUGCGAGCGUUAAUCGGAAUUACUGGGCGUAAAGCGCAUGCAGGUGGUUUGUUAAGUCAGAUGUGAAAGCCCGGGGCUCAACCUCGGAAUUGCAUUUGAAACUGGCAAACUAGAGUACUGUAGAGGGGGUAGAAUUUCAGGUGUAGCGGUGAAAUGCGUAGAGAUCUGAAGGAAUACCGGUGGCGAAGGCGGCCCCCUGGACAGAUACUGACACUCAGAUGCGAAAGCGUGGGGAGCAAACAGGAUUAGAUACCCUGGUAG
rnacentral:rRNA from 1 species